rnacentral:rRNA from 1 species
CGAGGGAUUUUCGGCAAUGGGCGCAAGCCUGACCGAGCAACGCCGCGUGCGGGACGACGCCCUUCGGGGUGUAAACCGCUUUUCCCGGGGACGAGGAUGACGGUACCCGGGGAAUAAGCCUCGGCUAACUACGUGCCAGCAGCCGCGGUAAGACGUAGGAGGCGAGCGUUGUCCGGAGUUACUGGGCGUAAAGCGCGCGCAGGCGGCCCUGUACGCUGCCGGUGAAAGCUCCCGGCUUACCUGGGAGAGGUUCGGCAGUACGGCAGGGCUGGAGGGUGGGAGAGGUCGGUGGAAUUCCCGGUGUAGUGGUGAAAUGCGUAGAGAUCGGGAGGAACACCCGUAGCGAAGGCGGCCGACUGGACCACACCUGACGCUGAGGCGCGAAGGCCAGGGGAGCGAACGG